GUUAGUACACCGUAUUACAUAAUUGGAAAUACUAUGAAAUGUUUUUAUUUUAGAUUUCAUCAUGGCAUAUCCAUACGUAUAUUCUUUGCAUUAAUUAUUGUGAACGUUUUGAAGUGCAAAGGUGAACGCAGGACACACAGGUAAGUUCAGGUAAGUUUAGGUAAGUUCAAGUAAGUAUACGUUGAAUUGAUGGGGUUAUAAUAUGACUACAUUUAUGUUUAAAACAACUCCGACAUUGUCGUAUAGGUUGCAAUAGUAGGCAACUUCGGCAUUGUCGUACAGGUUGCUUAUGAGUCAUACAUGUUGUAUUAGAUACAUUCAAAGCUCAUAAACCUGCACCUCGAUGUUAGUGCUCCCGCCCGUGGCCAGGGAACAGUACUUCACGUAAUGUUAACCUCCCGCACCAUACGCUCACUUUGAAUUCAAGGUAGGUGCACAAGCCUGUCGUACAGACCAUUAUAGGUGGUUCUGACUCGUAGGUGACUCUUCACGUGAUCGUAGCGCUAGAGCAUAUUCAUUUACACCCUAGUCAUGUCGUACAGACCACUACUGUGGUUCUGACUCGUGUGCAGGCGUAGUGCCGUAUAGGUCACUAGAGGUGACUUCAGUUUAUAUGCUAGCAAUGAUUAAUGAAAUAUGAGUAUAGUCGCACAGGUCACUAGAGGUGACUCUGACUUAUAUGCUAGCCACGAUUGAUGAGAUAUGUGAUGAGUAUGUGAUAAGCUAGCAUAUGUAACGAAUAAGAGACGAGCUAACAUAUGUGAUGAAUAUGUGAUGAGCUAGUGUAUGUAACGAAUACGUAACGAGCUAGCAUAUUUAAUGAAUAUGUUAUGAACUAGCAUAUGUGAUGAGAUGGGUAAGUUGUACAGGUCACCCUAGGUGACUCCGACUUGCAUAAUAGUAUGAGUUAUUAAUCGCAUGAUUAGUUGAUAUUAUUGAUGAAAUGUUGUGUUGUGGUAUAUUAUGAAUUUUUUGGAAACUAUACAGGUGCUGUAGUGAGGGGUUAUAAUGUUUUGCAUGGUUUCUAUUAAAAUUUUACUUACAGGGCCACUCACCUUUGUCUUGUCUUCACCCUCUAGGUUUUAUUAGCUGAGCUUUCUUAUCGUCGAAGAUUCGUGGCGAUUCUUAGUAUUGGAGAUUAUUUCGAGGGUACGAUUCUUAAUUCACUUUUUUGUACUUGCUUAUGCUCUAACGUCACGUGUGAAGUGGGUUCAUUCUCACUCACCGGUGCACUCUGGUAUUUAGGCACUGUUAGGUUUAAAUUUAUUCACAAUCCUCCACAUCAUCA
rnacentral:lncRNA from 1 species